rnacentral:rRNA from 1 species
UACGUAGGUGGCAAGCGUUGUCCGGAUUUACUGGGCGUAAAGGGCGCGUAGGCGGCCGCUCAAGUCCGGGGUGAAAGCCCCCAGCUCAACUGGGGAAGUGCCUCGGAUACUGAGUGGCUUGAGGGAGGUAGGGGCGGAUGGAACUUCCGGUGGAGCGGUGAAAUGCGUUGAUAUCGGAAGGAACGCCGGUGGCGAAAGCGAUCCGCUGGCCCUCUACUGACGCUGAGGCGCGAAAGCCAGGGGAGCAAACGGG